AACGAACGCUGGCGGCAUGCCUAACACAUGCAAGUCGAACGAGACCUUCGGGUCUAGUGGCGCACGGGUGCGUAACGCGUGGGAACCUGCCCUUAGGUUCGGAAUAACUCCCCGAAAGGGGUGCUAAUACCGGAUAAUGUCUUCGGACCAAAGAUUUAUCGCCUUUGGAUGGGCCCGCGUUGGAUUAGCUAGUUGGUAGGGUAAAAGCCUACCAAGGCGACGAUCCAUAGCUGGUCUGAGAGGAUGAUCAGCCACACUGGGACUGAGACACGGCCCAGACUCCUACGGGAGGCAGCAGUGGGGAAUAUUGGACGAUGGGCGAAAGCCCGAUCCAGCAAUGCCGCGUGAGUGAUGAAGGCCUUAGGGUUGUAAAGCUCUUUUACACGGGAUGAUAAUGACAGUACCGGGAGAAUAAGCUCCGGCUAACUCCGUG
rnacentral:rRNA from 1 species